UACGAAGGGGGCUAGCGUUGCUCGGAAUUACUGGGCGUAAAGGGCGCGUAGGCGGCGGUGUUAGUCAGGCGUGAAAGCCCUGGGCUCAACCUGGGGACUGCGUCCGAUACUGGCAGGCUUGAAUCCGGGAGAGGGAUGCGGAAUUCCAGGUGUAGCGGUGAAAUGCGUAGAUAUCUGGAGGAACACCGGUGGCGAAGGCGGCAUCCUGGACCGGUAUUGACGCUGAGGCGCGAAAGCCAGGGGAGCAAACGGG
rnacentral:rRNA from 1 species